rnacentral:tRNA from 1 species
UCCCGUGUGGCUCAGUUGGUAGAGCAUGGUGUUUACAACGCCAGGGUUGUGGGUUUAAUUCCCACAGGGGGCA